rnacentral:lncRNA from 1 species
CUAAUGGUGCAUCUUGCAUAUAGCUGGUCUUAUGUGUGUUGUCUCUAAUGGUGCAUAUUGCAUAUAGCGGGUCUUAUGUGUGUUGUGUCUAAUGGUGCAUCUUGCAUAUAGCUGGUCUUAUGUGUGUUGUCUCUAAUGGUGCAUCUUGCAUAAAGCUGGUCUGAUGUGUAUUGCCAGCGUAGUACAUUAGGCCACAAAGUGUGUGUGUGUGUGUCUGUGUGUGCCCUGCAUCCAUCAAGGGACAGAGCUCCACUGAGCUCCUUAAGAGAAAGAGCACACAGCCAACCAUUAAUGCAGGUUCAGUCAAAAUUUCCUGUGAUUUCCUAGAUUUCCUGUGUACAUUGUGCUGAAACCAACAUCCAACCUACAAUCAAUAUUGUUAGAGUAAAGCCAAAGAUCAAAUCUUUUUGAAGAGCAAAAGUCUAAUAUUCCACCUAAAUAAAUAGUGUGAAACAGCUUCUCAUGCAGAUUGACAGGAAUGAGUUAAAUAAAAACAACUUUGUUCUUGGACUUUGCUCAACUUUGCCCAAAAUGUUUUUACACAUUAGACACUCUGGGCUCCUCCUUACAGGUCUGACGUAGGAGGAAGGUCAGAAAUAGUCAAAGUUUACUUUACAGACUCCAUUUUAACAGGAGGAAGAAGAUAUCUACUUUUAACUAAACUCAAUUUGAAAACCUUCAGCUUUUUUAUGUUUGAUAGAAACGUGUGAGUCUAAUCUUGAGAAACAUGUUCUGAUGUGUGUACACAUCCAUGCUGUGAUUGAUUUAUUUAGCAAAGGUUGUAUCCCCAUGGGACGUAUUGCUACAAAAUGGCGGCAUAGUAAACAGCCAGUUGUGUGUCCAUGAAGAGAAGCUGAGCAAUGGAAACACCAGGAGACGCUCCAGAGGGACAGAGACAUGUCCGUCGGGAGAGACCUCCAUCACCUGUGCCCACUUGUGUGUCCAUGAAGAGUGACCAGUCAAAUGAUCGCCCCAUCAACUUCCAAAAUGAAGAUGGUACAAAUGCAUCAAGGCAAGUCCAUGAAACACACUCAUGUCAAGGGUAUGCUUAAUAAGGUAUACUGUCACACAGA